rnacentral:lncRNA from 1 species
UUACCUUUGUAUAUAAUCUAGCUCAUUAGGAAUGUAAAUACAAGUCUCCCAUCUCCAUUAUAUUAUUUAGAUAUAUGUAUAUAUGAUAUACUAUACAGUUACUAUAUGAUUAACAUGGCUUAUAUAAGGUUGAAUUGUAGUUCGGAUCGAAUAUAAAUGAUUAAGUGAUAGAAAUGUACAUAACAUACACUAUACUAUGUGGAAUAUAACUACCUUCAAUU